AAGGCUAACCUGGAUGGCUGUGAAUUGGCUUAAUCUCAGCUGGCAACUGUGAGAUAUUAAUAAAUUCCCUCACAGUGGUCUCUGGGAUUAUGCUAAACAGAGCAAUUUCCUUGCCCUCAUGGAUCAAUAGACUUGCUCACCAACCUAAAU